UUAUUUAUUUUAUUAUAUUUAUUUUUUGUUUAUUUAAUUAUUUAAUAGAAAUAAUUUUAUUGAAUUUUGUCUUAGUAUAUUUUGUAGAAUUGAUUUUUUAAAUUAUAGUUUAUUGGUAAUGUAAUUGUUUUAUGAAAUAUUAUUUUAAAUUUUUAAAAGUAUAUUUUAUUUAUUGUACCUUUUGUAUCAGGGUUUAUCAAAAUUUUAGUAUUUAAUUUACUUGUCUCGAUUUGGGUUGAUUUAUAAAUAAUUUACAGUUAAUGUAUCAUAAUUAUUAUUAAAUUAUUUAUUGAAAUGAAAUGUUAAUCGUUUCCCAAGAUAUCUAGUUUCUUAAGAAAAAUUUUAAUUUUUUAAAGUUAAUUGUUUUUAUUUAAUUUUUUAAUUAUAAAUAUUAACUUAUUUAUUCUUUAAGGGAUAAGCUUUGAAGUUAAUAACCUAUAAUUUGUUUUUAUAAAAUAUAAUAGUAAGCUUUAAACCAGCUAUCUUUAAGAUUACGUUUUAGUUCAUUAUUUUCUAUUUUGAUUUUAUAAUUAUUUUAGGUUUUUUAUUAAGAUUAUUUAUUUAAUUUUAAAAUUUUUGUAAUAAUGAUAGAAUUAGUAUAUUUAUUUGUAUAUAAUUUUUACCUUGUGAAUUUAUUAUAAGGAACUAGGCAAAAUUGAUUUCCGCCUGUUUAUCAAAAACAUGUCCUCUUGAAAAUACUUUGAGGUCUGGCCUGCUCACUGAGCGGAUUUUUAAAGAGCCGCGGUAUUUUGACCGUGCAAAGGUAGCAUAAUCAUUAGUCUCUUAAUUAGUGGCUGGAAUGAAUGGCUUGACGAGAAAUCAACUGUCUCUUAAUAAAUUUUGAA
rnacentral:rRNA from 1 species